rnacentral:tRNA from 1 species
CGGGUGUAGUUUAAUGGCAGAACACUAGCUUCCCAAGCUGGAUACGUGGGUUCGAUUCCCAUCAUCCG